rnacentral:rRNA from 1 species
UUAGCAUAUCAAUAAGCGGAGGA